rnacentral:pre_miRNA from 1 species
CAAAUACUCACUCCGUCCAAAAAUACUUGUCAUCAAAAUGGAUAAAAGGAAAUGUAUCUAGACAUAUUUUAGUUUUAGAUACAUCUCUUUUUAUCCAUUUUGAUGACAAGUAUUUUCGGACAGAGGGAGUAGAAA